CAGUAGGGAGGAAGGUAGUGUAGUUAACACCUGCAUUAUUUGACGUUACCUACAGAAGAAGCACCGGCUAACUCCGUGCCAGCAGCCGCGGUAAUACGGGAGGGUGCGAGCGUUAAUCGGAAUUACUGGGCGUAAAGCGCAUGCAGGCGGCUUGUUAAGUCAGAUGUGAAAGCCCGGGGCGUUAACCUACGGUAAUUGCAUUUAGUAAACUGGCAGGCUAGAGUCUUGUAGAGGGGGGUAGGAAUUUCAGGUGUAGCGGUGAAAUGCGUAGAGAUCUGAAGGAAUACCAGUGGCGAAGGCGGCCCCCUGGACAAAGACUGACGCUCAGAUGCGAAAGCGUGGGGAGCAAACAGGAUUAGAUACCCUGGUAG
rnacentral:rRNA from 1 species